UCGGAUGUGGUGCACGGUGCACACACUCGCUAUGUACUGCUCCUCAUUCAAUUACGAGAAGCUUCACGUAUGAUGCGGGAAGCUCGGGUUCAACUCCCGGCAUCCGAA